GACGAACGCUGGCGGCGUGCUUAACACAUGCAAGUCGAACGGAAAGGCCCUGCUUUUGUGGGGUGCUCGAGUGGCGAACGGGUGAGUAACACGUGAGUAACCUGCCCUUGACAUUGGGAUAACUUCAGGAAAAUGGGGCUAAUACCGGAUAGGAGCUCCUGCUGCAUGGUGGGGGUUGGAAAGUUUCGGCGGUUGGGGCUGGACUCGCGGCUUCUCAGCUAGUUGGUGGGGUAGUGGCUUACGAAGGCUUUGACGGGUAGCCGGCCUGAGAGGGUGACCGGGCACAUUGCGACUGAGAGAGGGAGCAGACGCCUACGGGAGGCAGCAGUCGGGAAUAUGGCGGAACGGGCCGAAGCCUGAGGCAGAAACGCCGGGUGCGGGAUGCUGUGCUACGGGGUGUAAACCGAUGUCGACUGUGACGAAGCGGGAGUGACGGUAAUGGGUAAGGAAGCAACGGCUAACUACGUG
rnacentral:rRNA from 1 species